rnacentral:tRNA from 1 species
UUCCUGGUGGUCCAGUGGCUAAGACUUUGCUCUCCCAAUGCACAGGGCCCAGGUCCAAUCCCUGGUCUGGGAA